AUUUAUAUUGAGCUGGACAACUUCUUGGUAGACGCUGAUCCUGUACAAUCAAUGGUUGUGAAGAUAUUAAGCUUUAAUUAAUGUGUCACGAAAGCAGAGGAAAAUUGUAUGAAAAACCUAUUAAAAAUCCAUCAUUUACAGGAGGAAACCUAUGCUAACACUGGAAGAACAGCACACAUAGAACCAGCACCAGCAACUGAAAAACUACUCAGUCAAAUUUGUUAAUGACAGCCCAGGACCCUGACAGCAUAUGGUAAAUGGAUGGAUGGUGUCAACUCAUAUAGGGGUGAGAAAAUUUUUUAAUAAUUCUGCAGGCGAUUUUGUGGGAGAUACUGCUGUAAUAGAAUCAGGUGAAUUAUACGGGAACAUGAAUUAUAUCGGAUUGUGGUCUUAAGUGUUUAAUAGUCUCACAAAAAGUAUAUGUCAGGAAUUACUCUUGCACUACGUAUUGUAAUUAAUUACAACAACAACAGCAAUAACAAUAAGAGUCAUAAUCAUCAUCAUGGUUAUGUUUAAGUAUUAUUUUUCUUCAGCUGAAAUCUCUGGCAUUUAUUUUGUAGUAGAUGGCCAGUGUAGGCCUAUAUAUUCAUAUUUAGGUUUUGAUUUUAGUGCAUCCCUAUGUAUCACAGAAUAUAAUUCUUUAUGAACUGUGCAUGAUCUCUGGGCUAAUUGUAUUUGAGAUAAAGGAUAAAGGCUUGUAGUGACCUUUAUGGUAGUGGCAAGAGCUGCUCCUCUAGUAAGGGCAGAGGGGAUUGAGCUGACCCAGUGAAUUUAAUUAUAUUGACAAGUGGUGCUACGGCCCCUCAGCAAG